AGGUUAAUGACAAAGUGCCAGUCACAGUGAAAACAGGUAGAUCGUAAAGACGCCGUCAAUACAUCCUUGUAGGCUCGUGCCGCGCCAUCCUUGGCGCGGACGCUUU
rnacentral:ncRNA from 1 species